UCAUGAACACGCGUUCACGUUUGGCAGCUCCACGUCGACAUUCUUCCAGCUGCAUAUAGUGAACUGCACAGGACUGGGGGAAGAAAAGGUAAAAGCGGCGGUGGCCACCUUACGAUUGGAGCGCUGCAAGUCCGCAGACGGACAUCAACCGCAGUGAAAACAGGCGUUUGCACUGUGAACCGAGCCGUGGCCUGCAAUGUCCUCAUAUCGCUUUCUGCUUUUGCAUUUUAUGAUCUAGAUUAUUUGUCCCUCGUGUUGGAUUGCAGCUGGUACCCUCGCGUCUACCUUUAUCAGGUUAAAGGAGCACCCAGUCGUGAGGAGGAUAAGUCUCUGCACAAGGACAAACCUAUGAGGUGGCACUGUGGCUUUCCAAAUAAAGUUCUGUGAUACACUUAGACUCUAAUUUCCUGUAGUCAGUGCAUUACAGAACUUUGUUUUGGGAGUUAAUUCUUUAACCUGUCGGAAAUAAAUCCUCAAACAUCUGGACAUUUAAGUUUACAUCGCGAUGCAAUAUUUCUGUUGACAAAUGAUGUUUCCCCAAAUAAAAUUUCCCUGUCUUAAGCA